UUAGCUCUCAAACGCAUGGUUGAAUGCGACAGUAUAUGCCCUGUUAAUGUCUUUAAAGUUUGUAAGCUUGAAUGGAGGCUGAGUUGUGAAUUAGUUAGAAAUUCAAUUGUUCAUUCGGUUAGAAGUUGAGAAGUGGUUUUGAUAAUGACCAAUGUAAUUAAUUUUUGCGGGUUAUGGCUGGUGUGAUCGGUUAUGGACCAGGUUGUAUGGUGCUCAAAUCAAGUUCAGUUAAAACCAAAGAAUCUCCUUCAAGUAAGCCACUUGGAAUAAAUCCUGAAAAUCUAUUGUUGCUAAGCUUAAGGAUUUGGAGAUCGUAAACAAAAUAGAAUCCAGGAAAUAUACAAUCUGCUCAAUGGAAUUCAUGAAUCCUGGAAUGGAGCCGAAGUGUAUUCGUAUUGGCGGCUGGAUUAGUUUUGCAGAAGAGAUUUUAGUUUUUUCUGCGUUUGCAUUUGGAAGGCUCGCAUUUCAUGUCGGCGUCUUCGGCCAGACCUUGCUUCUGCUCGGUUUUGGAGCCGUUGUUGCAACUUGCUUUUAGGAUGUGUUUGUUGUAUCAUGUGUUAUCUUCGUUUUAGUGAGCUCAAUCUAGUACAUCUUUGUGCUUUCUGAUAUCA